rnacentral:snRNA from 1 species
AUAGAUAGAGGCGGAGUCAAUGGGUGAUCAAGAAGGCCUAUGACUUAGGUUGCCAACCUCCAUUGCACAAGGGAGGGGUGCCCGCCUAACAUCUCCCCAAGUGGGAGAGUGUACGUCAUAAUUUGUGGUAGUAGGGAUAUGCGUUUGUGCAGCCCCUAU